GACGAACGCUGGCGGCGUGCUUAACACAUGCAAGUCGAACGCUGAAGCUUGGUGCUUGCACUGGGUGGAUGAGUGGCGAACGGGUGAGAAAUACGUGAGUAACCUGCCCUUGACUCUGGGAUAAGCCUGGGAAACUGGGUCUAAUACUGGAUACGACAUGCCACUGCAUGGUGGUGUGUGGAAAGGGUUUUACUGGUUUUGGAUGGGCUCACGGCCUAUCAGCUUGUUGGUGGGGUAAUGGCCUACCAAGGCGACGACGGGUAGCCGGCCUGAGAGGGUGACCGGCCACACUGGGACUGAGACACGGCCCAGACUCCUACGGGAGGCAGCAGUGGGGAAUAUUGCACAAUGGGCGGAAGCCUGAUGCAGCGACGCCGCGUGAGGGAUGACGGCCUUCGGGUUGUAAACCUCUUUCAGCACGGAAGAAGCGAGAGUGACGGUACGUGCAGAAGAAGCGCCGGCUAACUACGUG
rnacentral:rRNA from 1 species